AUGAACGUCGCCCUCAUGUUGCGUUGGGUCUGGUGGAUCAUGCAGGGCGAUGGGGGUCUGUGGCUUCAGUUGGUCGAGGCAAAAUAUUUGCAGGGAGAGCCUCUCUUGGCGUGUUCUCGCUCGACUGGAUCUCAAUUCUGGAGAUCUAUCCAGACGAUUAAGGAUGAGAUCCGGCUGGGUGCUACCUUCUUAGUUGGCAAUGGGAAUGUCACCCAGUUCUGGAUUGACCCUUGGCUGGAUGGGGAGCCGCUUCGUGUUCGGUUUCCUAGGCUGUUUGCUAUCUGCGAGGACCCGCAUCUGCUGGUCUCCGCGGCUGGUUUGGAUUAGCAGUGGAACAUCACGUUCCCCCGUUCAUUUGGGCCAGAGGAGGUGCGAGAAUGGGUGAGUUUGAGGGAAGUAGUCCCUCGCGCACUGUCCCAGUCUCCUAACACCAUUUCAUGGAGAUUCUCUCCUUCGGGAUAA
rnacentral:rRNA from 1 species